UUCUCUCUUCCCCAAGCCGUGAUUUCAUUCUUUGACAGCAAAGUCAAAUCCAAAUCAGUGCAACAAGUUAUUUUCAAUUUCAAAUUCACAUCAAAGGUCGGAAGAUUUGUUCAAUUUCGAGGGAGAUUAGUCCUUUUCAACUUUUGAAUUUCAAAUUUUUGAUUUGUCCUUUGGCUUUCUUGAAUUUCGAUUUCAAAUUCGAAUUUGUCUAUAAAUACCAAUGUUUUUUCACUCUUGAAGAGACAAGAUUUUGGGUGAGGAAAAAUGGGAAAAGUGAUUCACAAAAGCACAAUAUCAGUUCCUCUUCACCACUCUCACUUUUUGAUUAUUCACGAGUUCUAUUGGAGUUGAGUUCGAAGAGAAAAUUCAUGGCUUAAAACUUGACGGAAGGCCUUGGUUUGCUGCCCAACAUAAGGACUACUGGUUAUUUUUCGCAAAUCUGAAUUUUGGAAUAGUGUUGCGUCUCUAUCUUUGUUUGUCUCGGUAUACAUGACUGUGUUGCUUCUAAAUCUAUGGAACUUGUGAAACUAUUGUUAAAAUUAUUUAUUUUAUGUGUAUUUAAUAUUAACUUUUUAUUAUGUUGAAGUAAAAUGGGUCGAUGUUGUUAGUUGGUGGACAAGACA